rnacentral:tRNA from 1 species
GUGGUAGAAUACCAACUGGAUGGUUACUCCUUUUGGGUGGGAGAGUUAGCGUGUUCGAGUCGCGCCUACCACG